ACCAAGCCAGUAACACUCUGAAGGAAAAAUCAACAAGAAGAAAUGAAUGAACUACUCAUAGAAGUUGCACAGAUCAAUACCUAAGCCUGUGAUGUCAAACAAUUAGCCUCCCAGUCAAUUUUCGUUACACUAGGCUGAAGAAAAGGAAAAGAGAGAGAGGAGGCGAGAGGACAAACAACAAAAAACCAAACAGAAACAUAACAAAAUAGCUUCUCAAAGCACAGAUGCCAGACUCAAAUAAUGGCACGCAUCCAGCAAUAUCCAGAUGCUAGACUCAGGUAAAACAAAAAAACACCAUAUACGGGUUUUUUAAAAGCUAACUCUCUAGUCUCUAUCCAAAUGAAAAAAGCAAUUUGCACCAACCCAGAGAUAGAGCAAAAUCUCAUACAAGGAAACUACAAGAA
rnacentral:lncRNA from 1 species